GAUGAACGCUGGCGGCGUGCCUAAUACAUGCAAGUCGAGCGAACGGACGAGAAGCUUGCUUCUCUGAUGUUAGCGGCGGACGGGAGAGUAACACGUGGAUAACCUACCUAUAAGACUGGGAUAACUUCGGGAAACCGGAGCUAAUACCGGAUAAUAUUUUGAACCGCAUGGUUCAAAAGUGAAAGACGGUCGUGCUGGCACUUAUAGAUGGAUCCGCGCUGCAUUAGCUAGUUGGUACGGUAACGGCUUACCAAGGCAACGAUGCAUAGCCGACCUGAGAGGGUGAUCGGCCACACUGGAACUGAGACACGGUCCAGACUCCUACGGGAGGCAGCAGUAGGGACUCUUCCGCAAUGGGCGAAAGCCUGACGGAGCAACGCCGCGUGAGUGAUGAAGGUCUUCGGAUCGUAAAGCUCUGUUAUUAGGGAAGAACAUAUGUGUAAGUAACUGUGCACAUCUUGACGGUACCUAAUCAGAAAGCCACGGCUAACUACGUG
rnacentral:rRNA from 1 species